UACGAAGGGGGCUAGCGUUGCUCGGAAUUACUGGGCGUAAAGGGCGCGUAGGCGGACAGUUUAGUCAGAGGUGAAAGCCCAGAGCUCAACUCUGGAAUUGCCUUUGAGACUGAGUGGCUUGAGUACGGGAGAGGUGAGUGGAAUUCCCAGUGUAGAGGUGAAAUUCGUAGAUAUUGGGAAGAACACCGGUGGCGAAGGCGGCUCACUGGCCCGUAACUGACGCUCAUGCACGACAGCGUGGGGAUCAAACAGG
rnacentral:rRNA from 1 species